UGCUAGGGCUAGAGAGCGAGUGC
rnacentral:miRNA from 1 species